GAUGAACGCUGGCGGCGUGCCUAAUACAUGCAAGUCGAGCGAACAGAUGAGGAACUUGCUCCUCUGACGUUAGCGGCGGACGGGUGAGUAACACGUGGAUAACCUACCUAUAAGACUGGGAUAACUUCGGGAAACCGGAGCUAAUACCGGAUAAUAUAUUGAACCGCAUGGUUCAAUAGUGAAAGACGGUUUUGCUGUCACUUAUAGAUGGAUCCGCGCCGCAUUAGCUAGUUGGUAAGGUAACGGCUUACCAAGGCGACGAUGCGUAGCCGACCUGAGAGGGUGAUCGGCCACACUGGAACUGAGACACGGUCCAGACUCCUACGGGAGGCAGCAGUAGGGAAUCUUCCGCAAUGGGCGAAAGCCUGACGGAGCAACGCCGCGUGAGUGAUGAAGGUCUUCGGAUCGUAAAACUCUGUUAUUAGGGAAGAACAAAUGUGUAAGUAACUAUGCACGUCUUGACGGUACCUAAUCAGAAAGCCACGGCUAACUACGUG
rnacentral:rRNA from 1 species